rnacentral:rRNA from 1 species
CUGAGUACGGCGGAACACGUGAAAUUCCGUCGGAAUCCGGGAGGACCAUCUCCCAAGGCUAAAUACUCCCUAGUGACCGAUAGUGAACCAGUACCGUGAGGGAAAGGUGAAAAGCACCCCGGAAGGGGAGUGAAACAGUUCCUGAAACCGUGUGCCUACAAGUAGUUAGAGCCCGUUAAUGGGUGAUAGCGUGCCUUUUGUAGAAUGAACCGGCGAGUUACGAUUUGUUGCAAGGUUAAGCGGAAAAAGCGGAGCCGUAGCGAAAGCGAGUCUGAAUAGGGCGCAUAAGUAACAGGUCGUAGACCCGAAACCAGGUGAUCUACCCAUGUCCAGGAUGAAGGUAAGGUAAUACUUACUGGAGGUCCGAACCCACGCACGUUGAAAAGUGCGGGGAUGAGGUGUGGGUAGCGGAGAAAUUCCAAUCGAACUUGGAGAUAGCUGGUUCUCUCCGAAAUAGCUUUAGGGCUAGCCUCGAGGUAAAGAGUCAUGGAGGUAGAGCACUGUUUGGACUAGGGGCCCUUCUCGGGUUACCGAAUUCAGAUAAACUCCGAAUGCCAUGUACUUAUACUCGGGAGUCAGACUGCGAGUGAUAAGAUCCGUAGUCGAAAGGGAAACAGCCCAGACCACCAGUUAAGGUCCCCAAAUAUAUGUUAAGUGGAAAAGGAUGUGGGGUUGCUUAGACAACCAGGAUGUUGGCUUAGAAGCAGCCACCAUUGAAAGAGUGCGUAAUAGCUCACUGGUCGAGUGACCCCGCGCCGAAAAUGUACCGGGGCUAAACAUAUUACCGAAACUGUGGAUGAACCUCUUUAGAGGUUCGUGGUAGGAGAGCGUUCUAAGGGCGGUGAAGUCAGAUCGGAAGGACUGGUGGAGCGCUUAGAAGUGAGAAUGCCGGUAUGAGUAGCGAAAGAAGGGUGAGAAUCCCUUCCACCGAAUAUCUAAGGUUUCCUGAGGAAGGCUCGUCCGCUCAGGGUUAGUCGGGACCUAAGCCGAGGCCGAUAGGCGUAGGCGAUGGACAACAGGUAGAGAUUCCUGUACCAGUGCUAAUUGUUUAACC